rnacentral:rRNA from 1 species
UACAACAGAGAGUUAAUGCACCAAAUCCUAUUAGAACUCCACAAUUAAGCGUGCUCAAGAUAGAGUAGUAAUGGGAUGGGUGACCGCCUAGGAAGUUCUAGUGUUUUAC